rnacentral:rRNA from 1 species
UACGGAGGGGGCUAGCGUUGUUCGGAAUUACUGGGCGUAAAGCGCACGUAGGCGGCUUGGUAAGUUAGAGGUGAAAGCCUGGAGCUCAACUCCAGAAUUGCCUUUAAGACUGCCGAGCUAGCAGGUGAGAGAGGUGAGUGGAAUUCCGAGUGUAGAGGUGAAAUUCGUAGAUAUUCGGAAGAACACCAGUGGCGAAGGCGGCUCACUGGCUCAUACUGGACACUGAGGUGCGAAAGCGUGGGGAGCAAACAGG